GGGCGCAUAGCUCAGCGGUUCAGAGCGGGGAUCUCUAAAAUCCUGUCGUCCUGGGUUCGAAUCCCAGUGUGCCCU
rnacentral:tRNA from 1 species